GCCACCAUGCCCAGCUCAUUCUGGUUUUUGAGGAGCAUCACAGAAGCGUCUCUCACUGGCACUGUGACAAUGUUCAUCCCAUAAACUAAUGAUCAUCUUCUCUAAGCAGCAGUCAGUGGUGUUGAAAUUUCUCCUAGCGGGGACAUCAUUUGGGCUCACAGCCUCAUAUGUAUGAGGCUGUUGACUGAACUCUUGUUCAUUUCACAUUUUUCACACCAAUAUAUGUCAUUGUUCAUUUUUUGUUUGUUUGUUUGUUUUUUGUUUUUGUUUUUGAGACAGUCUCGCUCUUUCACCCAGGCCGACUGCAGUGGCACGAUCUCGGCUCACUGUAAGCUCCGCCUCCCGGGUUCAAGCCAUUCUUCUGCCUCAGCCUCCUGAGUAGCUGGGAUUACAGGCAUGCACCACCACCCCCGGCUAAUCGUUGAAUUUUCAGUAGAGACGGGGUUUCAUCACGUUCGCAAGGCUGGUCUCGAACCCCUGAUCUCAGGUGAUGCCCCCACGUCGGCCUUCCAAAGUGCCAGAAUUACAGGCGGGAGCCAAUGCAACCGGCCAAGGAUAGCUUUAAAUCAACAAAGUAAUAAGUUUUGUUACACUGUCAGCCCACUGGCAGGUAGACAUACCUUAGUUUUUACCUAAGCACCUAUGUAAGAGAAACUUUAAGAGAAGGCAGUUCCCUUUGUUUUUGAGGUCGCCCUACUGUGUAACUGGUAGUUUUCUUUUUUUUUUCUUUUUUUUUUUAAGACGGAGUCUCGCUCAGGCUUGAGACACCUUGUCCAGCUGUAUUUUUUAUUAUUAUUAUUAUUAUUAUUAUUAUUAUUAUUAUUAUUAUUAUUUUGUUUUUGAGACUGAGUUUCACUCUAGUUCCCUGGGCUGGAGUACAAUGUCAUGAUCAUGGCUCACCACAGCUUCCAUUUUCUGGGCUCAAGCGAUUCUCCUGCCUCAGCCUCCGGAGUAGCUGGGACUACAGGCUCAUGCCACCACUCCAGGCUAAUUUUUAUAUUUGUAGUAGAGACGGGGUUUCUCUAUAUUGGUCAGGCUGGUCUCGAACUCCCGACCUCAGGCCAUCCGCCGUCCUCAGCCUACCAAAGGGCUGGGAUUACAGGCUUGAGCCACCGCGCCCGGCCUGAAGUAGAAUAUUUUAGAAAGUAAUUAAACCUUUUUUCAGCAUAAUAACCCAGAGAUGUACUUCUGAAGGACUUAGAAUCUCUUCUUGAAAGGCAAGCAACAAGGGAGAUAGUACCUGUAAGUCAGUAGGAAAUUAAAUAUUUCAAACAUCAGCUAUUUCAAAUUUAAAGCUACAGACUUUUAAAUAAUUCGGAACCUUGAGAGGAACGUGGUCAUGCAACCUGAGUCCGGUGGCAUGCAGGCGCAACUUCUACAAGUUUUCCUGGCCAGGCAUGCAGGCUCAGGCCUGUAAUCCCAGCACUCUGGGAGGCUGAGGCGGGCGGAUCGCCUGACGUCAGGAAUUAGAAACCAGCCUGGCCAACAUGGGGAAACCCCGUCUCUACUGAAAAUACAAAGCCAUUAGCCGGGCAUGGUGGCGCACGCCUGUAUUUUCAGCUAUUUGGGAGGCUGAGGCAGGAGAACUGCUUGAACCCAGGACGUGGAGGUCGUAGUGAGCCGAGAUCACAUCACUGCAUUCCAGCCUGGGCGACAGAGCAGGACGCCUUCCCAAAACAAAACAAAACAAAACAAAAUGUGCUAUACAAUUUAGUUUCCUAAUAUCAAUUUUAAAAAGUUUUCGUGUAAAUAAUUAGGAAAACUAAGCAGCCCCAGAGAUAAGACCUCCUGGCAUCAUUGUCCCUUCUUAUGGAGUGAUAAUGUAACCUUCCUUGAAGUGUAUCACUCCAUCACCAGUCAAGCUGCCGCAGCCUAUGCACUGGACUUGAAUGGAAAAUGUGGUGGUUCUGGGAAAGCUUCUCUGUAUUUCCUUGUGUGUGUGAAAUGUUAAUGUCUCUACUUGGGAACGCUGACCCCAUUCAUUUGGAGUUGAGGUUUCCAGGUGGCUAUUCUCAUGCUUUGUGUCCAAAUAAACUCUAUAAUUAAUAAUGUAUUCUAAAUUUCAUUAUUUACUGCUGACAUCAGUUUCUGUUGGAUUGUAGGAGCCUCACCAGAGAGGGCACCUGUCCGCCAUGCUGUAAAACUCACACUUGCCAAAAAUACAUGGGUUAGGGUUUCUCCCCCUCCCUCAGGAUGAUGCUAGUUAGCUGACACAGAUGGUCACCUCCAUUACCAAGUAGAGCCAGGAUGAAUUAUGUGUGACCAAGGGUGUUGUCAAGUCCUCUUCCCUGAGGACUGAUCAGUGUUUAUCUUGAAAACAUGUAUUUGGGUUGUAUAGAACAGUGAAGUUUCUUUCUCUCUUUUCAACCUCUCAACUGUCCUCUAUUUCCCAUCACAUGCUGGUCUAAGGCCUAUUUAUUAAUAAAAUAGUUUUUAUUUCUUUCUCUGUUAUCGUCGUGAAGAUGAUUUCUCAUUUAGGGGAAGAUUUUUUUAGUUUUCAAUUGUAUUUUCUCAACAUUUAAGAGCGAAGUGAAGAGUAUUUCUUGGGCCAGGCACAGUGGUUCACGCCUGUAAUCCCAGCAUUUCAGGAGGCCGAGGCAGGCGGAUCACUUGAAGUCAGGAGUUCGAGACCAGCCUGGCCAACAUGGUGAAACCCCGUCUCUACCCAAAAUACAAAAA
rnacentral:lncRNA from 1 species